rnacentral:rRNA from 1 species
GAUGAACGCUGACAGAAUGCUUAACACAUGCAAGUCAACUGUGGCGGACGGGUGAGUAACGCGUAAAGAACUUGCCUCAAAGAUAGGGACAACAUUUGGAAACGAAUGCUAAUACCUGAUACUGUGAGAGAGCUUUUCGUCCCAUUAGCUAGUGGGAGAGGUAACGGCUCACCAAGGCGGUGAUGGGUAGCCGGCCUGAGAGGGUGAGCGGCCACAAGGGGACGGAGACACGGCGCUUACUCCUGCGGGGGGCAGCAGUGGGUAAUAUAGGGCAAGGGACCAAAGUCUGAUCCGGCAAUUCUGUGUGCACGAUGAAGUUUUCGGAAGGUAAAGAGCUUUCAGUUGGGAAGCGGUACCAACAGAAGAAGUGACGGCUAAAUACGUGCCAGCAGCCGCGGUAAUUC